UACGUAGGGUGCGAGCGUUAAUCGGAAUUACUGGGCGUAAAGCGUGCGCAGGCGGUUCGUUGUGUCGGCGGUGAAAGCCCCGGGCUCAACCUGGGAAUGGCCGUUGAAACUGGCGAACUGGAGUGUGGCAGAGGGGGGUGGAAUUCCGCGUGUAGCGGUGAAAUGCGUAGAGAUGUGGAGGAACACCGAUGGCGAAGGCAGCCUCCUGGGCCAAUACUGACGCUCAUGCACGAAAGCGUGGGGGAGCAAACAGG
rnacentral:rRNA from 1 species